CGACGUGAGGAACCUGCCUUUCAGAGGGGGACAACAGUUGGAAACGACUGCUAAUACCGCAUGACACAUUGGGGUCGCAUGGCCCUGAUGUCAAAGAUUUAUCGCUGAAAGAUGGCCUCGCGUCUGAUUAGCUAGUUGGUGAGGUAACGGCCCACCAAGGCGACGAUCAGUAGCCGGACUGAGAGGUUGACCGGCCACAUUGGGACUGAGAUACGGCCCAG
rnacentral:rRNA from 1 species